GGGAGGGAGCCACCAGAAGUGACCCAUUGGAAAGUAAUAACCCAAUACGAGAGUGCCCUGUGAUUGGGGACCAGCAUUAACUUGGAUUCUGGUUGAAAGCACACAUCCUGAUCUUUCCAAAUGAUAGGAAAGAUUUUCAGUAAAACAAUAGAGGUUGAGCUGUAGGAGAAAGUUUGGGAUCCAGUUUCAAGGGCAGUCAGCUAGUCCAAGAAAACCUCGUCACUGGGGUUCAGUUUUAGGUUUAGGGAUGUUCAGGAUGCCUUGAGGUCUCCCUGGAUCCAAAUCUAGUCCUGGUCCCGAGAUCAGGGGCCCUGAGUAUCCAACCUGAGUUUGAACACACUGCAGUUUUUCUUUGAAGGUUUUAUGUCCCUUUAAAGGCAAAAGUUUUAACAGACGAACAUUCCCUUCCUGUGAAGAGUCUGAGAAGUAGAGCAGAAGAGCUGAUCAUUUCCCUACUGGAGCAAAGUAGAGCCUGCAGAAAACCUUCUGUCGUCUGAAUCAGCUUUUAAGCAACAGGAAGCUUGGAGAUGCCGGCGGCUCACUUCAGAGGAAGAACGAGGCCCACUGAGCGUCUCAGCGCAGGUGAGUCCUGGGCCCGGCAUCCCCCGGGGUGUGUAAUACACAGAUGGCAGGUACCUUCUCUCUGGUCCCUACCACAACCUGGCACAUGGCGAAGGCCACGGUUUGUUGAUCCAGUCUAAUGUGGACUCACAUGUUCAAGGUGUUGAGAUGAAGGCAGGAGUCAGAACACCCUCCCAUCAGCGGUCCACCGAGCCCUCACCCUAUUGCAUCUGAACAGGACAGCCACCACGUCCCCUGCCACACAGCUCUGCUCCUGCCACUUCUACCCCAGGCCUGGGAAAUCCAAACAGAACAGAGUGGCCAGGCAGCUGCCAAGUGACGCGUGUGACCACCAGCCGGUGCUCGGCUCCUGCAUUCCCAAGGGCUGCGGGGCGCCGGGUCUCCUGCGCCCACCUCCAACCAGCACCUGGCC